rnacentral:pre_miRNA from 1 species
UGGUUACAUGCAGUUGUGUUGUUUUUUUUUGUAGAAUCUGUUUUUAUUGGCUGAGUGAAACAAUUUAACUUAACCA